GACAGAGGAUGCAAGCGUUAUCCGGAAUGAUUGGGCGUAAAGCGUCUGUAGGUGGCUUUUUAAGUCCGCCGUCAAAUCCCAGGGCUCAACCCUGGACAGGCGGUGGAAACUACCAAGCUGGAGUACGGUAGGGGCAGAGGGAAUUUCCGGUGGAGAGGUGAAAUUCGUAGAUAUUCGGAAGAACACCAGUGGCGAAGGCGACAUACUGGCUCAUUACUGACGCUGAGGCUCGAAAGCGUGGGGAGCAAACAGG
rnacentral:rRNA from 1 species